CAGCUCCUGGGUCUCUGACACACCUCCGGUUACGACAGGGUAAAGCUCCUGGACAGUAAAGACACACAUUCAGUGGGAGCAGGUCCUCCAUGACCUUCGCAGUGUGAACGCUGACCUCAGACGGCUUCACCACAGCUGCAUUACCUGGACAGUUUGGUUUGCAGAGUGUGUUUAUGUGCAUUGGAGUAGUGGGCAUACUGUCAGUUCACCAUUUGUAAUCUAUAAAUAAAUAAACAAAUAAUAAUUAAACAGCUUGGGGGAAUCAAACAUAGAAGUAGACUUACUAAGGUGGUAUCUCCAAAUCCUGGAAAAAUCCUAAACUGUCCAAAAUCACGUAUGUAAAAUUAGGGCCCUCAAAGGUCUUGAGUAUGUCAAGUAUCUUGUUUUAGCUUCCUUCCUAAAACUCUCAUUCAUUGAGUGUUUUUGUGGUGUAAAAUUACGUCUGUCAUGCAGACUGUUUUCCAGCUGGUCAAUAGUUGCUGGUGAUAAACAAUAACCUCACUUCUGAGGUAGAAACUCGCUUGUGCACCCUCGCUGCCUGUUGUUGUCUAUUUGUUAUCAAACAAAUGCUGCAAAUGUCCUUUAUGAAGAAUAAAACCACACAACUUUAUCAGAAGUUACAUUCUGCUGUUUCCUUCCAUGUUUCUCAUCAUCUCUACAAAAUGCACUUCUCAGUAUCAGAGAAACUGCAUUUAAUUUGUCCAUUUUCUAAUAUACCUUGUAAACGUGAAUACACGUACAAAUACAGCCUUUUAUUCAACGCCGUAAACAGAUGAUGACUAAAUAAUCAAAUAUGUAAUUAAAUCUAAAUAAGUGAGUAUUGUUUUUUAUAAUCUAUAUCCUGCAUCAAUCAUGAGAAGCGACUUAUGACCUACUGGGCAGAUCUGACAGUCAUUGUAGGAUCUGAUAAUGCAGGAGCAAAGUAUGAAGUCCACACUGUACAAACACCACACGACAGGACUCCAGUCCUCCAGGCAGACAACAUUUGAGUCAAAACAGGUUUUAUCCGAUUUACUAAACAAAUGAACCUCCUACCUGCAGCAGCUCUUGUGGCACUAAUAUGUAAAACUACUACGGGGGAAAAGUAACAAACAACAACAGCAAAGAUUCAAGCAGAUAAAGAAACAGACAAAAGACUUAAAAAUACUGCUGUGUCAUGCUAAACAGUUGCAAGCAAACACUCCUCACCGAGGUUUGCAUCACAAAGUGAUCAGAGCUCGAUGUAGAGCCAAGCUCAGGGUGGCCUUUUUGGAGGAUCUUUAGAAACAGAAAUGAAUUAUGCAUGAGUUCAUUCAUUAUGUCAGAGCUGAGUGCUUCACUCAGAGUUUAACCUUUAACCUUUGAGCCAUCGCCGAUAGGAACAAUGCACAGAGUUGAGACCUGCAUGUUCACACGUGCAAACAUGCACAUAUAAUGCUGCAGAAAUACAUGACAGCAUGUGUGUGACAUACACACGUUACAGGACACUGAAUCUGUUGAUGAUCUUAUAAGAGCUGCAACGAUUAGUCGAUUAAUCAGUUAGUUGAUCUGAAAA